rnacentral:misc_RNA from 1 species
GUACAGAAAUAAUUACAAGGACCGAGUUACAAAGUUUGGUUGCUGAUCUGCUUGGAAAACAUCCUGAUCUUUUGGAAGGUUUCGGUGAAUUUCUAGAGCGUUGUGAGCAAGAUGAUGGAUUUCUUGAAGGUUUUAUGAGGAAGAGUAGAUGGAAUGACGGGCAUGCUUCCAAGUCAGCAAAGGACGAUGGGAAAGAGAAAGAGCCUAAGCGUGAGACUGAUGGAACUAAAGAAAAGGACAGAUACAAGGAGAAAUACUCGGGAAAAUCCAUCCAAGAACUUGACCUCUCAAACUGCAAACGCUGCACACCCAGUUAUCGGCUUCUCCCUGAUGAUUAUCCAAUACCUACAGCAAGCCAAAAAUCAGAGCUUGGAGCUCAGGUGUUAAAUGACCAUUGGGUUUCUGUGACUUCAGGGAGUGAGGACUACUCGUUUAAGCACAUGCGCAGGAAUCAGUAUGAAGAAAGCCUGUUCCGUUGUGAAGAUGAUAGGUUUGAGC